rnacentral:sRNA from 1 species
UUGGCAGCCCUGGAGACUGAACUCUUUUAUUUAUUGAUACAAAGGUACAGCAUAGGCAGCAGUAGUGCAAACUUCUCCAUACUGGCCCAACAAAGUUUCUUAACCAUGUGACCUAAAGGGCUCCACCCCAAAGGAGAAUUCAGCUUCGUGCCUAUUGAAUCCUUGAUCUUU